rnacentral:rRNA from 1 species
UACCUGCAGCUCAAGUGGUGACCGCUAUUAUUGGGCCUAAAACGUUCGUAGCCGGUUUGGUAAAUGCCUGGGUAAAUCGUGUAGCUCAACUAUACGAAUUCCGGGUAGACUGUCAAACUUGAGACCGGGAGAAGCUAGAGGUACUCCUGGGGUAGAGGUGAAAUUCUGUAAUCCUGGGGGGACCACCAGUGGCGAAGGCGUCUAGCUAGAACGGGUUUGACGGUGAGGAACGAAGCCCUGGGGCGCAAACCGGAUUAGAUACCCGGGUAGUCCAGGGUGUAAACGCUGCUUGCUUGAUGUUAGUUGGGCUCCGAGCCCAAUUAGUGUCGGAGAGAAGUUGUUAAGCAAGCUGCCUGGGAAGUACGAUCGCAAGAUUGAAACUUAAAGGAAUUGGCGGGGGAGCACCACAAGGGGUGAAGCUUGCGGUUU